GGCAUAUGGUGUAGGGGCGAUCACGUUCGCUUUGCAUAAGGAAAAUCGGUUGCAAAAGCUCUCUGGUUCAAAUCUGGAUCCGCCA